CCCCAACUCUUGGGAGAAUUUUGGCUUUUAACACAUAAUUAAAAUAUUUUUAAGCCUUGACUUUAUGAACUGAUUGGGAGAGAUGGUCAGCAUGAAAUUUAAUUGAUACACGUAUGGAUUAUUGAUGCACUCCUACACAAUUCCUACCAGAUAGGGAGGAAAAAUAAAACACAAGCUAGCUGAGAGAAGGAAA